UGCCAGCAGCCGCGGUAAUACAUAGGGGUCAAGCGUUGUCCGGAAUAACUGGGCGUAAAGCGAGCGUAGGCGGAUUUGUAAGUUGGAGGUGAAAUCCCAGGGCUUAACCCUGGAACUGCCUUCAAAACUACAUUUCUUGAGUUUGGUAGAGGAGAGUGGAAUUCCUAGUGUAGAGGUGAAAUUCGUAGAUAUUAGGAGGAACACCAGUGGCGAAGGCGACUCUCUGGGCCAAUACUGACGCUGAGGUUCGAAAGCGUGGGGAGCGAACGGGAUUAGAUA
rnacentral:rRNA from 1 species